rnacentral:rRNA from 1 species
AACGAACGCUGGCGGCAGGCCUAACACAUGCAAGUCGAGCGAGAUCUUCGGGUCUAGCGGCGGACGGGUGAGUAACGCGUGGGAAUAUGCCUCUUGGUACGGAAUAGCCUCGGGAAACUGGGAGUAAUACCGUAUGUGCCCUUUGGGGGAAAGAUUUAUCGCCAAGAGAUUAGCCCGCGUUGGAUUAGGUAGUUGGUGGGGUAAUGGCCUACCAAGCCGACGAUCCAUAGCUGGUUUGAGAGGAUGAUCAGCCACACUGGGACUGAGACACGGCCAAGACUCCUACGGGAGGCAGCAGUGGGGAAUCUUAGACAAUGGGGGCAACCCUGAUCUAGCCAUGCCGCGUGAGUGAUGAAGGCCUUAGGGUUGUAAAGCUCUUUCAGCUGGGAAGAUAAUGACGGUACCAGCAGAAGAAGCCCCGGCUAACUCCGUG